rnacentral:rRNA from 1 species
AAUCAACGCUGGCGGCGUGCCUCAGACAUGCAAGUCGAACGCGAAAGUCCCCUUCGGGGGACAAGUAGAGUGGCGCACGGGUGAGUAACACGUAGGUAAUCUACCUUCGGAUGGGGAAUAACAACCGGAAACGGUUGCUAAUACCGCAUAAUGCAGCGGCACCUAAUGGUGACAGUUGUUAAAGCGGGGGAUCGAAAGACCUCGCGUCUGAAGAGGAGCCUGCGGCGGAUUAGCAGUUGGUAAGGUAAUGGCUUACCAAGGCGACGAUCCGUAGCCGGCCUGAGAGGGCGGUCGGCCACACUGACACUGACAUACGGGUCAGACUCCUACGGGAGGCAGCAGUCGGGAAUUUUGGGCAAUGGGCGAAAGCCUGACCCAGCAACGCCGCGUGAAGGAUGAAAU